GACGAACGCUGGCGGCGUGCUUAACACAUGCAAGUCGAACGGAAAGGCCCUGCUUUUGUGGGGUGCUCGAGUGGCGAACGGGUGAGUAACACGUGAGUAACCUGCCCUUGACUUUGGGAUAACUUCGGGAAACUGGGGCUAAUACCGGAUAGGAGCUCCUGCUGCAUGGUGGGGGUUGGAAAGUUUCGGCGGUUGGGGAUGGACUCGCGGCUUAUCAGCUUGUUGGUGGGGUAGUGGCUUACCAAGGCUUUGACGGGUAGCCGGCCUGAGAGGGUGACCGGCCACAUUGGGACUGAGAUACGGCCCAGACUCCUACGGGAGGCAGCAGUGGGGAAUAUUGCACAAUGGGCGGAAGCCUGAUGCAGCAACGCCGCGUGCGGGAUGACGGCCUUCGGGUUGUAAACCGCUUUCGCCUGUGACGAAGCGUGAGUGACGGUAAUGGGUAAAGAAGCACCGGCUAACUACGUGCCAGCAGCCGCGGUGAUACGUAGGGUGCGAGCGUUGUCCGGAUUUAUUGGGCGUAAAGGGCUCGUAGGUGGUUGAUCGCGUCGGAAGUGUAAUCUUGGGGCUUAACCCUGAGCGUGCUUUCGAUACGGGUUGACUUGAGGAAGGUAGGGGAGAAUGGAAUUCCUGGUGGAGCGGUGGAAUGCGCAGAUAUCAGGAGGAACACCAGUGGCGAAGGCGGUUCUCUGGGCCUUUCCUGACGCUGAGGAGCGAAAGCGUGGGGAGCGAACAGGCUUAGAUACCCUGGUAGUCCACGCUGUAAACGGUGGGUACUAGGUGUGGGGUCCAUUCCACGGGUUCCGUGCCGUAGCUAACGCUUUAAGUACCCCGCCUGGGGAGUACGGCCGCAAGGCUAAAACUCAAAGGAAUUGACGGGGCCCCGCACAAGCGGCGGAGCAUGCGGAUUAAUUCGAUGCAACGCGUAGAACCUUACCUGGGUUUGACAUGGAUCGGGAGUGCUCAGAGAUGGGUGUGCCUCUUUUGGGGUCGGUUCACAGGUGGUGCAUGGCUGUCGUCAGCUCGUGUCGUGAGAUGUUGGGUUAAGUCCCGCAACGAGCGCAACCCUUGUUCACUGUUGCCAGCACGUUAUGGUGGGGACUCAGUGGAGACCGCCGGGGUCAACUCGGAGGAAGGUGGGGAUGACGUCAAGUCAUCAUGCCCCUUAUGUCCAGGGCUUCACGCAUGCUACAAUGGCUGGUACAGAGAGUGGCGAGCCUGUGAGGGUGAGCGAAUCUCGGAAAGCCGGUCUCAGUUCGGAUUGGGGUCUGCAACUCGACCUCAUGAAGUCGGAGUCGCUAGUAAUCGCAGAUCAGCAACGCUGCGGUGAAUACGUUCCCGGGGCU
rnacentral:rRNA from 1 species